rnacentral:rRNA from 1 species
CCUACGGGUGGCAGCAGUGGGGAAUAUUGCACAAUGGGGGAAACCCUGAUGCAGCGACGCCGCGUGGAGGAUGAAGGUUUUCGGAUUGUAAACUCCUUUUGUUAGGGAAGAUAAUGACGGUAUCUGACGAAUAAGCACCGGCUAACUCCGUGCCAGCAGCCGCGGUAAUACGUAGGGUGCAAGCGUUACUCGGAUUCACUGGGCGUAAAGAGCGCGUAGGCGGGAUAGCAAGUCAGAUGUGAAAUCCUAUGGCUUAACCAUAGAACUGCAUUUGAAACUGUUCUUCUAGAGUAUGGGAGAGGUAGGUGGAAUUCCUGGUGUAGGGGUAAAAUCCGUAGAGAUUAAGAGGAAGACUCAUUGCGAAGGCGACCUGCUAGAACAUAACUGACGCUGAUGCGCGAAAGCGUGGGGAGCAAACAGGAUUAGAUACCCUGGUAGUC